AGACCCCGUGCGGGAGAGUCCUCCGCCGACGUCGUCGGAGGCGCCGAAGGAGCAAAUCCUCCCCGGAAUCUCUCAGGCACACGUACCGCGCGGGUGAG
rfam:Streptomyces sparsogenes DSM 40356 contig00462, whole genome shotgun sequence.